AGGAAGCGAGACGUCGACGCGCCGCAAGGCGUCCGGCCCUCCGCGAGCACCCGCGGGGGUUCGGGUUCCGGACCCGGUCCGAUCCCGUUCCCACCGAGGGGCUGUCCGCGAUCAUGGAGGUGUCCUCGGACGGCGUCGAAGGUCUCCGGUCCGCGACGCUACCGAUUGGAUGGUCCACCCGACCCGUCUUGAAACACGGACCAAGGAGUCUAACAUGCGCGCGAGUCGUUGGGUCGGACACGCUCCGCUAAACCCAUAGGCGCAAUGAAAGUGAAGGCCGCCGUCCGGUGGCCGAGGGAGGACGGGGCCGCUCGGGCGCUCCGGCGCCCGUCGGUCCCCGCACCCCCGGGGCGUCUGAUCCCUCAUCGCGAGGGGAGGCGCACCCAGAGCGCACACGUUGGGACCCGAAAGAUGGUGAACUAUGCCUGGCCAGGACGAAGUCAGGGGAAACCCUGAUGGAGGUCCGUAGCGAUUCUGACGUGCAAAUCGAUCGUCGGAGCUGGGUAUAGGGGCGAAAGACUAAUCGAACCAUCUAGUAGCUGGUUCCCUCCGAAGUUUCCCUCAGGAUAGCUUGCGCUCGGAGGAGAGUCUCAUCCGGUAAAGCGAAUGAUUAGAGGCCUUGGGGCCGAAACGGCUUCAACCUAUUCUCAAACUUUAAAUGGGUGAGAACUCCGGCUUGCUCGACUUAUCGAAGCCGGAGACGGGGUCCGUCCCUCGGGGCGGGCCCCCGGGAUCGGAGUGCAUAGUGGGCCACUUUUGGUAAGCAGAACUGGCGCUGUGGGAUGAACCAAACGACGGGUUAAGGCGCCCGAAUCGACGCUCAUGGGAAACCAUGAAAGGUGUUGGUUGCUUAAGACAGCAGGACGGUGGCCAUGGAAGUCGGAAUCCGCUAAGGAGUGUGUAAUAACUCACCUGCCGAAGCAACUAGCCCUGAAAAUGGAUGGCGCUGAAGCGUCGUGCCUAUACCCGGCCGUCGCGGCAGGGCGGACCCGGCCUCGCGCCGGGUGCCGUUUGAUGCGGCGACGAGUAGGAGGGUCGCGGCGGCGCGCGCAGAAGGGUCUGGGCUCGAGCCUGCCUGGAGCCGCCGCCGGUGCAGAUCUUGGUGGUAGUAGCAAAUACUCCAGCGAGGCCCUGGAGGACUGAUGUGGAGAAGGGUUUCGUGUGAACAGCCGUUGCACACGAGUCAGUCGAUCCUAAGCCCUAGGAGAAAUCCGACGCCAACGGCGACGGGAGAAAAAAAAAAUCGAGAGAGAAAAAGACCCGUUGAUCGGGCGAAAGGGAAUCCGGUUCCUAUUCCGGAACCCGGCAGCGGAACCGCUGUUUGUCGGGCCCUCACAAGGGGUUCGUCAGGGUAACCUAAAAGGGCCCGGAGACGCCGUCGGGAGCCCCGGAAAGAGUUUUCUUUUCUGCAUGAGCGUUCGAGUUCCCUG
rnacentral:rRNA from 1 species